GAGGGGAAACGGCAUUUAGUGCUUGCACUGAAUGGACGUCGACCGGCGCACGGGUGAGUAACGCGUAUCCAACCUUCCCAUAACUAAGGGAUAACCUGCCGAAAGGCAGACUAAUACCUUAUGUAAUUCUUAGAUGACAUCAGAAGAGAAUGAAAGAUUUAUCGGUUAUGGAUGGGGAUGCGUCUGAUUAGCUUGUUGGCGGGGUAACAGCCCACCAAGGCGACGAUCAGUAGGGGUUCUGAGAGGAAGGUCCCCCACAUUGGAACUGAGACACGGUCCAAACUCCUACGGGAGGCAGCAGUGAGGAAUAUUGGUCAAUGGGCGAGAGCCUGAACCAGCCAAGUAGCGUGCAGGACGACGGCCCUAUGGGUUGUAAACUGCUUUUGUAUGGGGAUAAAGUCAAUCACGUGUGAUUGUUUGCAGGUACCAUACGAAUAAGGACCGGCUAAUUCCGUGCCAGCAGCCGCGGUAAUACGGAAGGUUCGGGCGUUAUCCGGAUUUAUUGGGUUUAAAGGGAGCGUAGGCCGGAGAUUAAGUGUGUUGUGAAAUGUAGACGCUCAACGUCUGACUUGCAGCGCAUACUGGUUUCCUUGAGUACGCACAACGUUGGCGGAAUUCGUCGUGUAGCGGUGAAAUGCUUAGAUAUGACGAAGAACUCCGAUUGCGAAGGCAGCUGACGGGAGCGCCACUGACGCUUAAG
rnacentral:rRNA from 1 species